UGCCAUCUCAUGGAUAGUAUGCUAACAAUUACACAUAGCUCCAUGAACACACAGAAGAACACCUAGAGAAUCAACAAUUGGAUGGCAAUAAUAGCAAAUACAUGUGAUUCUCAUGUGUUUUGCAAGCAUAGAGAAACCUAAUCCUUAUAAAUUUCUUGAAACCAGAAUGUAAACUGUCAUCCAUAAAUAAAAAAAUCCUACCUC
rnacentral:lncRNA from 1 species